rnacentral:tRNA from 9 species
CGGGGUGUGGCGCAGCUUGGUAGCGCACCUGCUUUGGGAGCAGGGGGCCGCAGGUUCAAAUCCUGUCACCCCGACCA